GUGCCAGCCGCCGCGGUAAUACCGGCAGCCCGAGUGAUGGCCGAUCUUAUUGGGCCUAAAGCGUCCGUGGCUGGCCGCGCAAGUCCAUCGGGAAAUCCACCUGCUCAACAGGUGGGCGCCCGGUAGAAACUGUGCGGCUUGGGACCGGAAGGCGCGACGGGUACGUCCGGGGUAGGAGUGAAAUCCCGUAAUCCUGGACGGACCACCGAUGGCGAAAGCACUUCGAGAAAACGGAUCCGACAGUGAGGGACGAAAGCCAGGGUCUCCAACCGGAUUAGAAACCCCAGUAGUCC
rnacentral:rRNA from 1 species